CAUGCAAGUCGAGUGGUAAGGCCCUUCGGGGUACACGAGCGGCGAACGGGUGAGUAACACGUGGGUAACCUGCCCUGUACUCUGGGAUAAGCCUUGGAAACGAGGUCUAAUACCGGAUACGACCUGGGAUCGCAUGAUUCCGGGUGGAAAGUUCCGGCGGUAUGGGAUGGACCCGCGGCCUAUCAGCUUGUUGGUGGGGUAAUGGCCUACCAAGGCGACGACGGGUAGCCGGCCUGAGAGGGUGACCGGCCACACUGGGACUGAGACACGGCCCAGACUCCUACGGGAGGCAGCAGUGGGGAAUAUUGCACAAUGGGCGAAAGCCUGAUGCAGCGACGCCGCGUGAGGGAUGACGGCCUUCGGGUUGUAAACCUCUUUCGCCCAGGACGAAGCGAGAGUGACGGUACUGGGAGAAGAAGCACCGGCUAACUACGUGCCAGCAGCCGCGGUAAUACGUAGGGUGCGAGCGUUGUCCGGAAUUAUUGGGCGUAAAGAGCUCGUAGGCGGUUUGUCGCGUCGACUGUGAAAACCUGGGGCUUAACUCUGGGCCUGCAGUCGAUACGGGCAGACUUGAGUUCGGUAGGGGAGACUGGAAUUCCUGGUGUAGCGGUGAAAUGCGCAGAUAUCANGAGGAACACCGGUGGCGAAAGCGGGUCUCUGGGCCGAUACUGACGCUGA
rnacentral:rRNA from 1 species